AUUGAACGCUGGCGGCAGGCUUAACACAUGCAAGUCGAGCGGGGGAAGGUAGCUUGCUACCGGACCUAGCGGCGGACGGGUGGGUAAUGCUUAGGAAUCUGCCUAUUAGUGGGGGACAACACCUCGAAAGGGAUGCUAAUACCGCAUACGUCCUACGGGAGAAAGCAGGGGAUCUUCGGACCUUGCGCUAAUAGAUGAGCCUAAGUCGGAUUAGCUAGUUGGUGGGGUAAAGGCCUAACAAGGCGAAGAUCUGUAGCGGGUCUGAGAGGAUGAUCCGCCACACUGGGACUGAGACACGGCCCAGACUCCUACGGGAGGCAGCAGUGGGGAAUACUGGACAAUGGGGGGAACCCUGAUCCAGCCAUGCCGCGUGUGUGAAGAAGGCCUUAUGGUUGUAAAGCACUUUAAGCGAGGAGGAGGCUACUCUAGUUAAUACCUAGGGAUAGUGGACGUUACUCGCAGAAUAAGCACCGGCUAACUCUGUGCCAGCAGCCGCCGUAA
rnacentral:rRNA from 1 species